rnacentral:rRNA from 1 species
UCCGUAGGUGAACCUGCGGAGGGAUCAUUACUGAAUGGCCUUUUGGGCCUUCAACCUUCAAAAACAUGUGGAAGCAAGAUGUGCUUCGGUGCCUCUGGUGCCGCCUUUAUGCAGUGAAGCCUUAUUUGUCUGAACCAAAAUCAAAAAGUUAAAACUUUCAACAAAGGAUCUCUUGGCUCUCACAUCGAUGAAGAACGCAGCGAAGCGCGAAAUGUAGUGUGAAUCGCAGAACUUAGUGAAUCAUCGAAUCUUUGAACGCACAUUGCGCCUCCCAUCAUCGGGAGGCAUGCCUGUCUGAGCGUCAUUUAAACCAUAGCUCCCAUCUGGGACUGUACUGGGCAUCGCCGACGGCGUAGCCUCAAAGACAUUGGUCUAAUCAAGCGGACGAGUUCCUUUAGGACGGACCGUUGGGUUGACCUUAAACCUCUGACUUGACCUCAGAUCAGGUAGGGCUACCGCCUGAACUUAAGCAUAUCAAUAAGCGGAGGA